rnacentral:rRNA from 1 species
GUGGAUUAGAUACCCGGGUAGUCCACGCUGUAAACGAUGUCGAUUUGGAGUUUGUGCCAUUAUGAGCGUGGGUUCCGAAGCUAACGCGAUAAAUCGACCGCCUGGGGAGUACGGCCGCAAGGUUAAAACUCAAAUGAAUUGACGGGGGCCCGCACAAGCGGUGGAGCAUGUGGUUUAAUUCGAUGCAACGCGAAGAACCUUACCUGGCCUUGACAUGCUGAGAAGUCUGUAGAGAUACGGAUGUGCCUUCGGGAACUCAGACACAGGUGCUGCACGGUUGUCGCCAGCU